rnacentral:rRNA from 1 species
AGCAGCCGCCGCGGUAAGACAGAGGAUGCAAGCGUUAUCCGGAAUGAUUGGGCGUAAAGGGCUCGCAGGCGGUUUCUUAAGUCUGAUGUGAAAGCCCCCGGCUCAACCGGGGAGGGUCAUUGGAAACUGGGAAACUUGAGUGCAGAAGAGGAGAGUGGAAUUCCACGUGUAGCGGUGAAAUGCGUAGAGAUGUGGAGGAACACCAGUGGCGAAGGCGACUCUCUGGUCUGUAACUGACGCUGAGGAGCGAAAGCGUGGGGAGCGAACAGGAUUAGAUACCCCUGUAGUCCCUGUCUCUUAUAC